CAAUAGCGUAUAUUAAAGUUGUUGCAGUUAAAAAGCUCGUAGUUGGAUUUGUGGCGUACGGUGGGUUCCGGGCACUUGUUGUCUGAGUAACUUGCUGUUGCCAUCCUUGGGUGGAACCUGUGUGGCAUUAGGUUGUCGUGCAGGGGAUGCCCAUCAUUUACUGUGAAAAAAUUAGAGUGUUCAAAGCAGGCUUAUGCCGUUGAAUAUAUUAGCAUGGAAUAAUGAGAUAGGACUUUUUUGCUAUUUUGUUGGUUUGCGCAAAGAGGUAAUGAUUAAUAGGGACAGUUGGGGGUAUUCGUAUUCCAUUGACAGAGGUGAAAUUCUUGGAUUUUUGGAAGACGAACUACUGCGAAAGCAUUUACCAAGGAUGUUUUCAUUAA
rnacentral:rRNA from 1 species